AUUGCAUUUUUAAACCAAACCCCCCCUAUUGAGGACAUCCAUUUUUUGGUCCCCCCUCCCCUGGAAUUUCCACAUUUUUUAAGCGAAUUUUUUGCCUCCCCCGUGGAAUUUCCGCAGAUUUUUAUUGAAUUUUAGCCAUGCCCAUGGAAUUUCCGCAAAUUUUUUAUGAACUUUUAACCCAUCCCAUGGAAAUUCCUUGACAGUUUUUGAUCUAGCCAGUGGAAAUUCC